rnacentral:rRNA from 1 species
CCUACGGGAGGCAGCAGUCGAGAAUCAUUCACAAUGGGGGAAACCCUGAUGGUGCGACGCCGCGUGGGGGAAUGAAGGUCUUCGGAUUGUAAACCCCUGUCAUGUGGGAGCAAAUUAAAAAGAUAGUACCACAAGAGGAAGAGACGGCUAACUCUGUGCCAGCAGCCGCGGUAAUACAGAGGUCUCAAGCGUUGUUCGGAAUCACUGGGCGUAAAGCGUGCGUAGGCUGUUUCGUAAGUCGUGUGUGAAAGGCGCGGGCUCAACCCGCGGACGGCACAUGAUACUGCGAGACUAGAGUAAGGGAGGGGGAAGCGGAAUGCGCGGUGUAGCAGUGAAAUGCGUAGAUAUCGAGAGGAACACUCGUGGCGAAGGCGGGUUCCUGGACAUUCACUGACGCUGAGGCACGAAGGCCAGGGGAGCGAAAGGGAUUAGAUACCCGAGUAGUC